AAUAAAAUGCCUGAAAAAGGGUUACUUUGAUAGAGUAAAUCAUGUAUUUCCAUAAAUACUUUUAUUA
rnacentral:tRNA from 1 species